rnacentral:tRNA from 1 species
AAAGGGAGACCUAAUUCAGGUAUAAGACGAAAAAAAAGUAGUCCCUACUAAGAAUCAAUCCCAAAAGGUCGGAGCGAGGCAAAAUUGGCUUUCAAACUAGGUUCUGGGUUCACAUAAGACCUGAAUCAGGAACAAGGGCUAUUAGCUCAGGUGGUUAGAGCGCACCCCUGAUAAGGGUGAGGUCCCUGGUUCGAGUCCAGGAUGGCCCACCUGCACAGGUGGCAAAAACAAAGAAGCGAGGAAUCAGCACCUUAUCUUACUUAUAUAGUAAGAGAGAAUGCUGGCUCUGAGUAAAGAGUCCAGAGGAACCUUGAAAACUGCAUAGAGCUAGGUGAAAAAGCCAAAAAAGAAGACCGCAAG